rnacentral:lncRNA from 1 species
UGAGAGUCCUCAAGGAAAAAAAAAAGCUUUAUUAGUUCCUAACUCCAAAAUGUCUACAGAAAAUAAGGAGCAGAAGGAGACAAAAGUACGUGUGAUCGCCAUAGCCAUUGUCACCUUAGCUUUCUUUCUUGGGACAACAAUAAGAAUAGAGCGACACCUAGUGGGUGGGGAAGGAGACAACAUCCAAUGGCUGGUUGAUUGGAUGAAAUCGCCAGAAUCCCAGAACAAGUCGAUGAAUCUUCGGUGCCAGAAAGUGAAUGACGAGUUAAGAUGCACGAGACAGCCAGAAGAAGGAAACGGUCAUGCUGAAAAUUCCAAGCAAUCUCAACGGCUUUUCCUUCGUCUGGAUGAUCUAAAAGGCGACCAAACUCAAUCGGAGAAUUCCCUUUGUUGUCGUCCUUGUAGACAUUCCUCAAGCAAAGCUUUCAUAUAUUGCUUUGUGUUUAGCCUUGAGAGAUAUAAGAUUACUUACGAAUGGCUAUUCCCAAAAACAAAGGUAAUGUCGCACUCUUCAUCUUCGCUUUGCAUGCAUGAACCAAAUUUUGAAGCAUUUUAAUCUGAUUAGUUGAACUCGAACUUAGUCUAUCUGAACUCAAACCAAAUAUUAACGCACUCACACUUUGCUUAUUUUGAAUAUUAACAUAUUUAAAUUUGACUCAUUUAGAAAAUUAUGGAGUUGUUUCAUUUGUUUAUGGCUUUUUAAUUAUUUUAGAUAAUCAAGCCAAACUUUUGAAAGUUAAGUCUUAUAUGGAAGAGUCAGGUCCAUGUAUAUGUUAUUGUUCUUUAAUUUUCGUUUGAUGAUCAACUUGUUGUUCUUUGGUCAGAUUAUAACUAUUGUUGUUCCUGUCCGGGACUGUAUAUAUCAUUCAGUAACUGAAAGAGUAACAACAAGUAAACAAAACGCAACGCACAAGUAUGAGAUUAAUAAAAUAGUGUGUGCGAGGAAGUGCACACAGAUGACUUCCUUGAGACUAUGCCAAACUGAAAAACACCAAGCUAAUACUGAAUGGAAACAAAUUGAAAAGCGUCAAAUUGAUGCCAAACUAAAAAACACCAAACUGAUGCCGACCUGAAAAGUCACGUCUUCCACAUGCAGAAAAUUUAAGCGGGAAAAUGCAUAGUUAGUUAUAAAAGUAGUUAGCAUUAUGUUGAGAAGAACCUCUAGAUCAUUCUAGUAGUUUUCGCUCUUGUAUAUAUAAGUUAACAUAGAGUAAACAAUAUACACGAGUUUUUUCUCUCUUCUAUUUUCUAUUAGUAUUGUUACUUUUUGUACAUGGUAUCAAAGCUUAACAAUCAAGCUUUUGUAGCAGCAAUGGCUAGUACCAGCGACGUGAUCCCUAUUGUGAACCAGAAGGGCCACCUCACUCUGUAUAAUUCUGAUUCUCCAGGAGCAGUGUUGGCGAGCGUACCAUUCACUGGAGAGAACUACCUGACCUGGAGCAGGUCAAGGCUGAUCGACUGUAAGCCAAGGAUAAGGUUGGCUUCGUCACAGGAAAAUACAAAAAACCUAAGGAAGACUCUCAGGAUUUUGAGCAAUGGUAGAAAGUCGACAUCAUGGUGAUUUCUUGGAUUCUUAACUCUAUUUCCAAAGAAAUCGUAGAGGCAUUUUUGUAUACUACAACUUCUCAUGAACUAUGGGAAGAGUUGGCUCAACGCUUUGGGGGCAGCAGUGGACCUCAGAUCUACCAUAUCUUGAGAGAGAUCAGCUCGUUCCCACAAGGUAACAUGAAUAUAAUGGUUUACUUUACUAAACUCAAGAAAGUCUGGGAUGAAUUAUCUUGUUUCAUACUAUUUCCUUUAUGUACUUGUGGUGCUACAAAGGAGAUGAGUGAAAUUUGUGAAAGCGACAUAUUGACCCAGUUCCUCAUGGGACUAAAUUCAUCAUAUGAUCACGUUAGAAACUAGAUCUUCCUCAUGGAUCCAUUUUCCCCGGUGAAUUGUUGCAUAUGCCAUGGUAUUGAUGGUUGAAAAAUAAAGAGAGGUUAACACCUUCACACCAAACUUGACAGAUGGUUCCAUAGUCAUGAUGGCCAAGACACAGGGUAAUAAUAGGGAGAACAUAGGCUAUAAAACAUCAUUCAAGAGAAGAGAAACAGGAAAGGAAGAUGAAAGGUUUUACGACCACUGCAAAAACACAGGGCACACCAAGGACUCUUAUUUCAAGCUAAUCGGAUAUCUUGAAUGGUUUAAAUAAAAGAAGACGAAGCAAUUUGCAAAUGUUGUAGAAGAUACUUGCAAUACCACACUUGAGGUUGAGCCAGAUAAAGCCCGUAAAGAAGAACUAAUUGCCACAAUCACCAGCACAAUUCAGUAAGAACUGAGCAGGAUGAUAAAAGGCAAAGGGCUCCACGAGGCCAACUAUGCUGAAUUUACUGAAUUUGCAGGUGAAUGCACUCAAAAUUCUUCUACUUUUCUUUGUUCCAUUAAGACUGGUAAAUGGAUCAUAGAUAAUAGUGCUAUAUUGACGAGUGUCGAAUCUAUAAAUUUAAAAUUUACUUCCUUUUUCUUAAUUGGUAAAAAUUUAUAGAUAGAGUGUUUGAGUAUCGAUGCCACAAAGACCUUAAUUCUGUUUAAUUUAAAUGACUAAUUGAAAAACUAGUUUGAUACGAAAAGUGAGAAAAAGAGAAUUUUUUAGGUUGUGCCUUGGGCACACCAAUAAAAAUAAACUUAAAAGAAAAUAAUAAUAAUAAACAAUGCAAUUGAAACUUGAGCAACAAAUAAAUAGUUAAAACUUUUAGCUGAAAGUAAUCAAAUUGAGGUAUUUUGUAGAUGAUCAUUGGUUAGAGAAAUAAUUCAUGUUAUUAUCUAUUGUUUGGUUAUAGUGGUCAAACACGCGAAUUCCAUUAAUUCUUCCUUAUGAAUAAAUUAAUCCGCUUCGCACUUAAAUUAAUUCCUAGUCAACUAACAACUCCAACACGCGUGUAGAUUUAGUUAAUCAAUUGCAUUAAGAGAGAAGAACUCAAACUUGAUCAAUAAAAAUACGUGAUUUAUUUAAAUUAAAUCUGCCAAUUUCUUAACAUAAACUAAUAUAUUAAUUGCUACUUGUUAUUAACCAGAUUAAAUAAUUACAAAUUUAAUUAGAUUAAUUAGCUAUAGAUUAUUUUUCUAAGAGAUUCAAUAGGCCUCUUGAAUUCUUAAGAAAACAACAAUGGAGGUGAUGUUCCUUGAAAUAAAAAAUUGAUAAAAAAUAGAAAUAAGAUGAAAAGAAUUGAAGUGCAUAACUUCACAACUUGAACAAAUCUCAAUUUAAUUUAACUUUCAACUGAAAAUAAUUGUUUAGCCUCUCAUAGCCAUAAUAAAAUUAUAACAAUUACAACAAUGGGGGCAACAAGAGAGGAAAUGAGAUAGAGAGGUAGAAUAUGAUGUUCUCUAGGUUUAAUGCUACGAGUCUUUAAUAGACACAAAGGAUAAAACUUAAUAGUUUAAAACAAAAUAUACUACUUCUAUCUUAUCUCUAUCAUAAUCUGAUUGAAUUUAAUUCAACUUGACCCCAUUUGAAGCUGAUCUUAUUCUUGCUUAGGUGACAAAAUCUAUCUUAUCUCUCCAUCGCCUUGGACUACAGGUUUGGUCAAGAUUAUAGCCUCCCAGUAUAAAAAAUCCUUUAAUUCAGCCUUCUUUUCUUUCAUUUUCUUAACUUCUGCUCACAACCCUAUCCAAAAUUAAAUUCAAAUUAAAAUUAAAUAUUUAUAUCAAAAUUAUAGUAAAAUCAAGGAAUUAAAUGAGGAAAAAAAAUUAUGAGUUUUGCAACUCAUCAUAUAUCUCAAACAUGUUCUUCCUUACACUUUUACAAAACACCAAGCCUGUAACUAAAUCCAUAAUUGUGUCACUAUCUAAUGUAUCGACUAAAGAGGUUAGAAGAAUUGGCGAUGUCAGACUUAAAACUAACUUGAUAUUGCAUAAUGUACUUCAUAUACCAGGUUGCAAAUACAAAGUCUUAUAUGUUCAACAACUUCUAAAAAAUUCUAAUGUUUCUAUGAUUUUUUUAUUCGAAUCACUUUGAGUUACAGGACCUUUGGACUGAAAAGUUGGUUGCUGUGGGACACAUCCAUGAAAGAUUAUACAAGAUCAAUAACAGUUCAUUCUCUAUAAUAAAAUAUGUAUCAGAAAGGGCUAAUGCCUGUGAUAAUGUAAUUGAUUUCAAAAUGAAUAAAAAUGAUACUUCUCUAUGGCACAACAGAUUUGGCCAUGCUUUCAUAUCAAAGCUUGCUCAUAUACAAGACUUUAACUGUAAUGUAUCAAUGUCACCAUGUCACAUGUGUCCUCUUGCCAAACAGUCAAGAUUGCCAUUUCCAAAAAAGCUCAAACUCUAGCCCCACUAUUUUUCACCUAUUAUAUAUAGACAUCUGGGGAUGAUCACUGACUUGCUUUUAUAAGUGCCUCAUACUUCUUAACCAUAGUGGAUGACUAUAGCAGAUCGGCAAGGACCUACCUCAUGCAAAACAAGUUUCAAGUCCAUUCAAUCCUCUUCACCUUUCUCACAAUGAUUCAAACACAAUACCAAGUCAUUGUGAAACACAUAAGGACAGACAAUGGGACAUAAUUCUUGAACACUGAGACAACGAAAUUAUUUCAACAAUAUGGCAUUAUCCAUCAAAAAACGACAGCCUAUACACCCCCAACAAAAUGAAGUUGUAGAAACAAAGUAUUAAACCCUUCUUCAAAUAGCCAGAGCUUUGAUGUUCCAUUCUGGCUUGCUAAAGAAUUUCUAGGGAGAGGCAGUCUUACUUGCCACUUAUCUGAUAAAUAGAACCCCAAGUUCUAUCAUUAAAUGGAAGACUCUUUAUGGACUUCUCAACAAUAGAGUACCAGAUUAUAGUAUACUGCGAUCUUUUGGGUGUCUGUGUUGUAUAACUAAUGUAAGACCUCCAAAACCAAGUUCGAACCCAGAGCAACAAAAUGCAUUUUUCUGGAGUUUGCCACAGGACAUAAGGCAUACUAUAAUACCCGGCUAGACUCCGGUAUCGGAAUUCCUACCGUCCGGUAGAAUCUCGGAUGUCGGAAGCCUCUAGUAGGGUAGAAACAUGUUUUCAUAAAAUGUUUUAAGGUAUUUCAUGGUUUUAAGUAUGAAAAUUAAAUGAGUUUUUGCAUGAAAAGUCUUUGGAGGAAAACCCAGGUUCGGCCGCCGAAAGUCAAGUUCGGCCGCCGAACAUGCAUGCCUUUUGGAGGCACGUUAGGCCCCCGAAAGCAUGAGUGAGGGAAGUCCAGGUUCGGCCGCCGAAACCCAAGUUCGGCCGCCGAACAUGGCAUGCAUGCAGAGGCACAUUCGGCCCCCGAACGUGGCCUGGCCAGCCACUAUAAAAGGGUCCCUUAGGUCCGCACAUGCGAGCUUUUUCUCCCCCAUUGUCGGCCAAGGUGAGUCUCCGCCACCCCCUCCCUCGAUCUUGAGUGUUUUCCUUAGAUCUUCCAUGAUUUUCACGGGUUUUAACUUCUGUUUUGAAGAUCUGUGAGUAAAGAGCAAGUUUUGGAUACUUGGAGGUUCAAAGAGCUCAAUCUCUCCAUCUCCAAGCUAGGAUCGUCUUUCCUCUCGUUUCUUCAAGAGGUAAGCUCGGAUCCACCCUUGUUAUGUGUUUUAAACAAGCAUUAAGUUGUUUUAUGGGUAGAGAUGCAUGUUUAGGCUUGUUGAUGAGUUUAUGGGUUUUGAUAUUUUGAUGNNNNNNNNNNNNNNNNNNNNNNNNNNNNNNNNNNNNNNNNNNNNNNNNNNNNNNNNNNNNNNNNNNNNNNNNNNNNNNNNNNNNNNNNNNNNNNNNNNNNNNNNNNNNNNNNNNNNNNNNNNNNNNNNNNNNNNNNNNNNNNNNNNNNNNNNNNNNNNNNNNNNNNNNNNNNNNNNNNNNNNNNNNNNNNNNNNNNNNNNNNNNNNNNNNNNNNNNNNNNNNNNNNNNNNNNNNNNNNNNNNNNNNNNNNNNNNNNNNNNNNNNNNNNNNNNNNNNNNNNNNNNNNNNNNNNNNNNNNNNNNNNNNNNNNNNNNNNNNNNNNNNNNNNNNNNNNNNNNNNNNNNNNNNNNNNNNNNNNNNNNNNNNNNNNNNNNNNNNNNNNNNNNNNNNNNNNNNNNNNNNNNNNNNNNNNNNNNNNNNNNNNNNNNNNNNNNNNNNNNNNNNNNNNNNNNNNNNNNNNNNNNNNNNNNNNNNNNNNNNNNNNNNNNNNNNNNNNNNNNNNNNNNNNNNNNNNNNNNNNNNNNNNNNNNNNNNNNNNNNNNNNNNNNNNNNNNNNNNNNNNNNNNNNNNNNNNNNNNNNNNNNNNNNNNNNNNNNNNNNNNNNNNNNNNNNNNNNNNNNNNNNNNNNNNNNNNNNNNNNNNNNNNNNNNNNNNNNNNNNNNNNNNNNNNNNNNNNNNNNNNNNNNNNNNNNNNNNNNNNNNNNNNNNNNNNNNNNNNNNNNNNNNNNNNNNNNNNNNNNNNNUCCAUGCAUCAUGAAUGCCAUGAGUUAUAGUAGGUUGUUUGCAUUAGUAUUCACGAAUAUGUUGCAUUGCAUUUAUGAUGUUGAUGUGGAUUGGUUAUUGGAUGAUCCUUUAGUCCUCAUAUGGCAUGAUGAUGCUACGGCAUGAUAUGGUAUGGAAGUCCAGGUUGUACCCAUUCUACGUCCCUAGCACGAUGUAAGAGAAAGUCCAGGUUGUACCCAUUCUACGUCCCUGGUACAGUUGGACUGUAUGAUAUGUUAUGUUAAGGGAAAGACCGGUUGUACCCAUUCUACGUCCCGGCACAGUUGGACUAUGUAGAGGACUAUUGGUGACAAUACCAUCCGAGAUGUGAUUAGUUGUGAUGUGUUGCAUUCCAUGAAAGCAUGAAAUUUUAAUAUAUUGUUUUCUACUAUUCUGCUCACUGGGCUUUGUAGCUCACCCCUCUCCCCUAACCCCAGAUGUGCAGGUACAGGGUAGACCAGGAGGUUAGCCAGAGUUUUGAAGUAUGUCUAUGUAAUAGUUAGAGUGUGGACAUGACAAUUGUAUUGUGAUGUAAUGUAAGAGAUUUCAGUAUGUUAUGUAAUGAGAUAUAUAUAUAUUGAGGUUAUAGAUGUGCUUGACCCUAUGAGUAUUGUAAUCCCUUUUGAUACAUGAUCUAUAGAAAUGUUUUAUAAUGUUUAUGUUUAAGCCAACUCAUCUCAUGUUGUAGCGCCCGUUGGGGCAUUGAUGAGAUCCCACAGAGGGAUCAUGAUUUUGAUCAGGACUAUGUACAUGUAUGUUCAGGUUGAGUUGGAUGUUUAAAAAGAAAAGUUUUAAAUUUUUAUGCAUGUUGUUGAUCAUGUAUGGGAUUAUACAGGUUUACAGGUUAUAUGACAGGCUUGCUACGGGUCCCGGCGGCCUUAAGUCGACCCGGAUCCUAGCGCCGGUAGCGGUCUGAUUUUCGGGUCGUUACACAUACACACUGUAUGACCUUAGUAGCAAGACCAUAUAUAUAUAUCCAAAUAUGUCCUCUUUCAUGAAUCCAUCUUUCCCUACCAAACACAUAACCAGAUAGAUUUUAAUCCCUUUUACCCUAUAUCAGUUCAAGAAGAAUCCGAAACAGAAGUACCACAGCCUCUUGAUACCCAUCUUAUACCCCAUCCGACUUCACCUUUAGACUUGGAUUGACGUCCAACCUCACCUUCAGACCUACCAUACCAUCUGAUCUCACCGUCAGACCUACAACAAAAUGUCAUUACAAACACAUAGAUUCAAAGGACUUCAAAGACUCAUCAGAAACCAAGUUGGUUCAAUGAUUUUGUGGCAAUAGCUUAAGAUCCAACUUAUAUCCCACACAAUCGCUCUAAUAGUCUAAAUCCACCUUCAGGUACAUCAUUAACCCAAAUUUCUCCAAACCAUCUUUGUUUUACACUUGCACACAAAGAGUUCGUAGUAUUACUAUCUUUGAUACAUGAACCAUAUUCUUAUGAACAAGUAAAGAAAGAUGUGUUGAUUACUGAAGACACUUAAGCAGAGAUCCUGGCUACCAAACGCUACCUAGACUCUCAAUUCACAAUCAAGGACUUGGGACAUGCAAAAAUUUUUCUUGGCCUGGCAAUUGUCCGCUCUGCAUUUGGAAUGUACAUUAAUCAAAGAAAAUACAUCACAAACAUUUAUUCUUGAUACUGGUCUCUCAAAAGCCAAAAUCGCGCAAGUACCUCUGCCUCGAGGACUCAAGCUCACAAACUGUUCAGGAGCUCUCCUCCCUGACCCAACUCGUUAUAGAAGACUAGUGAGACGACUUUUAUACCUCAAUCUUUCACAACUAGAUAUUACUUUUGUUUGGCAACAAUUAAGCUACAUAUGCUACGUUAUCUCAAAGGCACCACUGACCAAGGCCUGUUUUAUCCAUCUCAAACAUCACUUAAUCUUCAAGCAUACUGUGAUGCUGACUGGGCCUUCUGCACUGAUACCCGUCGAUCCAUAUCUGGGUUCUACAUAUUCAUAAGGCAAGCUCUCAUUUCAUGGAAAAUAAAAAAAAUAGAGCAUUGUCAGUUGCUCCUCUGCUGAAGUCGAAUAUAGAAGUAUAGCCUUCACUGUCUAUGAGUUACAAUGGCUCGGCUAUCUCCUACGCAUAUUCUCUCUCCACCUCCGCACACCAAUACCACUACAUUGUGACAAUAAGGCAGCUCUACACAUAGUAGCAAACCCGGUCUUUCAUGAAUGAACAAAACAUCUAAACAUAGGCCGCCAUCUUAUUCGUGAUCAAAGCAACAAAGGCUUCAUCCAACCAUUCCACUUACCUUCUCGUCUUUAGCUGGCAGAUAUCUUCACCAAGUGCCUCGAAUCUCCCAUGUUCUCUACCUUUGUCUCUAAGCAUCCAACCAUUCCACUUACCUUCUUGUCUUUAGCUGGCAGAUAUCUUCACCAAGUGCCUCGAAUCUCCCCUGUUCUCUACCUUUGUCUCUAAGCUGGGAACAGUUUUAAUAUCCCAUUCUCAGUUUGAGGAGAGGGUGAAAGUAUAAUGGCUAGUAAACAAAACGCAUUGCACAAGUAUGAGAUUAAUAAAAUGGUGCAUAUGAGGAAGUGCACAGAGAUGACUUUCCUAAGGCUAUGUCGAACUGAAAAAUACCGAGCUGAUACCUAACUGAAAUAAACUGAAAAAUGUCAAACUGGUGCCAAACUGGAAAACACCAAAUUGAUGCCGACCUGAAAAGUCAUGCCUUCGACAUGCAGAAAAUUUAAACGGGAAAACGCAUAGUUAGUUAUGAAAGUAAUUAGCAUUAUGUUGAGAAGAACCUCUAGAUCAUUCUAGUAGUUUCUGCUCUUGUAUAUAUAAGUUAAUACAGAGCAAGCAAUAUACAUGAGUUUUUUUUUCUUUCUUCUAUUUUAUGUUAUCAUUGUUACUUUCUAUAUAGUAACACCGAGUGAGAAGUUUGAGUACGAGUUGAAACGGAUGUUGGAAUAUGAACUUCAGCUACUAUAGAAAUAUACUAAAUUCUAGAUAUCGUUUACCGAAUGUAAAACAAACUUAUUUGAGACAAAGUUUCACAACAUAUUAAGUGAAACAUUAAAGAAAGUUUCUCUAGAAAAAUCUAUACAUUCGACAGAACAGGUGAAAUUUACAGUUUAAGUUGAGCAAAGAGAAUGGAUAGGUAGUAUAUACUCAAAACUAUUCAACAACUACAUCCAAAGAUAACUUAAUUAUUAUAUAUGUUUAUCAAUUUUUAUUUUUCUUAUACUAUUUUAGUUUAUUGCUUUAUUAACUAACUUUCUUUCUUUCAUUCAUUUUAUUUUUAGGGGUUUCAGAAUGAUAAUCUUUUGGGUUCUUCACCAUCAAAUGGCGAGUUAGACAUAUGGAAUAAACUACGUUAAGACAAUCUUAUUUAGGCAAUGUCUCUACCUGAACUAUAUUGAGGAUAUGCUAAGUUUGAGUUUUGAGUUGCAUGAAAUUAGAAUUCUUAGAAUACACUAAACGAUAAAAAUAAUACAUAUAUAUUAUAAACUCACUGCUGUAAUAUUUUCAAUCGAAUGUGAUGUUAACCAAGAUUAUAAUUCUUUUAUAAGAUAUAGCUCUUGAAAUUUUAUGCUAAUUAGAGAUGGCAAUCGGUAUAGAUAAAGAGAAGAAUUUUAGAUUGAAUAUAGUGUCAAACUCGUCACAAAUAUUACUUUUUUGAGAUCAACAAAAUAAAUUCUCCUCUAUAUUUUUGGAAUGCGUCAUCAUUUUAGGCGAAAAUAUUUUUGCCACUAAAAUCUCCUUUCUAGUGGGAAAAACUUUCUUCAUUAAUGUUUAACCAUUUAAUGGAGAAUUCAGUUUGCCACUAAUAGUAAUUACUUUUUGUGACAAUAUUUCUUGCCCACUAAAAAGAUUACUUUUAUAAAGAAUUUAAUUCGUCACUAUUGUUAUUACACUUUUGUGAGAAUUCUAAUUCCCCAUAUAAAAUAUAUAUUAUUAUAAUCUUUCGUGUCACAUUUAUUUUGAUAACUUUGUGGCAAUUUUUUUAUUUGUUACCUAAACAUUAUAGUGACAAAAUUUAUAAUUUAGUGGAGAAAAAUUCUCUCACAGAAAACCUAUUAUAAGAUUCUCUUAUAAUGAACACAACUGAUGUUUAUUGUAUAUAUGAAGCUACUAAUUAAAUAUUCAUGCAAAGUUAUUUAUACUUUUCAUACCUUUUGAAAAACUUCCUUAAUUUCUAAAGAGAAAAACUUCUCUAUCCUUGAGGGGCUAUUGAUUAUGGUCUAUGGAGUUUUGCCUUUUAAAUUAUGAGCAGGGUUGCAUUGUGUUACCUUACUAAGUCUAAAAGGUUGAACUUGAGAUCACUAGUUGGUUAAUAAAAAAUAAUUAUAUUAUUUCAUCUCGAUUCUUAAAUAAUGGAAUCCAUCCUAUAAAAUCUUUUCAAGAGAUGCUUUAAUAAACAAGCAUAACUUCUGAUGCUAACUUGAUGGGUAAAAGAUAAUAGAAAAGCAAAUUGAAUAUACUAUUUUACAAGGAAUCUUCCAUAGCAAGAGAAAUGAAGAUUACUGAACAAAUGAUAAUGCAAUUAAAAUACAAAGUAUACGAAAGCAAGGAUAGUUCCUGAAUGAAUUACAUUACCAGCAAAAUGUUGAAUCAAGUUGUCUUGUUCAGGAUAUUUUUUUUACAGUGAAACUUUUUUAUCUCUUACUUCUGUUCUGUUUUAUGUUACAAAUGAGGUUUUUUUUUAAUGAAAAAAUUACUAUUUGAUCCUUAUUUGAAAUUUAUUAUUUAAUUUAUCGGUUUAAAAAAAAACCUAUUAAUUAAUCACUCUGCUAAUUUUAAUCAUUAAGUGUUAAGUUUUCACAUAUAUAAAAAUUAAUUCAUAAAACACUUAACGGUUAAAAUUAGCGGACUUAACGGUUGAAACUAGCGGAAGGAAGUUAUUGAAUUUUUUAAAAUCUCAAAAAUAUUUUAAUAUAUUUUUCAAAAUUAAAAUAUCAACUAAUAAAUUUUCUUAUAUCAAAUAAAUUAGGUAGUAAAUUUUUCUCGGUGUGGAGGGAAAAAGUAUGCAGUUUAAUGGGUACUGGGUAUUGGGAUUUUAGAACCUUGUUUUUGAAAUCUUGCUUAGCUAUAACAAGGGCGAUGGAAUCUUCUAUAGGACUAGUGAAUGUAAUCUUCUCAUCGAGAACCUUUGCUUUCAACACUUGCUAGCACAGUUUUGGGUUUAAACCCAAACCCUUCUCCAAACUAUAAAAUGUUGCAAUCCAAUUCCGAAUCCUUAAUUCCAAAAACUAAAAUUGGAUUGACUUGAAUAGGUCUCUAAAAUAUGAAUUAAAGCUAGAUUGAAAGAGCUAAAAUUGGAUCUGAAGUGAUUGAAAACUGGUUUUAAAUCCACUUGAUGGGCUAAAUCUGAAAUAUUUUUUUUUCUUUUUAAAAAAUGUAACGACUCGAAAAUCUGGACCGCUACCGGUGCUAGGAUCCAGGUCGGCAUAAGGCCGCCGUGACCCGUAGCAAGCCUAACAUUCAUCCUGAAAACCUGUUUAAUUCCAUACAUGAUCAACACAUACAUAAUAAUUUUGAACUUUUCCUUACAUUCAUUCAUUCUUUCAUUCAUUCACCAAACUCAACCUGUGCAUGCACUAUACAUAACAUGAUCAUAAACAUUAACUCCUCUUUGGAGUCUCAACAAUGCCCCAAUGGGGUGACAUCACAUAUAUUGAGUUUGGUUACAUAAGCAUCAUAAAAAUCAUGUACUUGUGACGACCCGAAAAUCAGACCGCUACCGGCGCUAGGAUCCAGAUCGGCUUAAGGCCGCCAGGACCCGUAGCAAGCCUAACAUACAUCCUGUACAUCUGGUAUAAACCCAAACAUGAUCAAACAUAAACAUAAAAAUUGUAAAACAUAAAACUGUAAACUUUUUUCUUUCUUUCAUACACCAAGCUUAACCCGUGCAUGCACAAACUCAUAAUCAUAAACCCCAACACUAGAGUUCUCAUCAUCAACUCUAAUGGGGCAACAUAAAAUAAGCUUGGUUUUCCUGUCUCAUUAAAGACAUACAUAAGGACCAUAUGCAAGGGAUUACCCACACUUCUAGGGCAAAGCACAACUCUAUCUAUUACAUUACAUUGAUUUACAUCAUAACAUUUUACAGAUCCCGUGAGGGUGAGGGGAUGUUAAGACAGUGCCGGUCACGGAGGAUGGCCGGGCUGUUACAGUACUCAAGGGGAUUAACAACAUACUAGGGUCAAGCACAACUAUAAACCUCAAUAGACAUCAUCGCAUUACAUUUCUAUACUAUACUUUUAUAUUACAUCAUUUUACAAUUUUAUCAUGUCCACAACUAACUAUUACAUAUAUACAUAACUUUACAUUCCUUGACUUCCUGAUCUAGCCCGUACCUGCAAACCUGGGGAUUUAGGGAGAGGGGUGAGCUACUAGAGCUCAGUGAGCAGAAUAAUAAAACAUAGUAUUUAAAACAUAUGAUAUCAUGAAAUGCAUCACAGCACAAACAUUUCACAUCAAGGAUGAACUUGUCACCACUUAGCCCUCUAUACAGUCUAAUUAUGCCAGGGGCAUAGUGCAGGCUCGCCUGGACUUCCAUAGCAUACCAUACAUAUCCAGUCAUGCCGGGGGCGUACUGCAGGCUCGCCCGGACUUUCAUAGUCUGUCAUAUCAUACCAUAUAAGGGCUAAUGGAUCAUUCAACAUUCAUCCACAUCAACAACAUAAUAUGCAAUGCAACAUAUUCGUGAAUUCUAAUGCAAGCACCCUAAUAUAUCUCAUGGCAUUCAUGAUGCGUGAAUCAUGCUAAAGCUUUCAUUUUAUUUACUUUAAAACGUAGAGAGUUAUUCCACUCACCUCUGGCUAGCUCUGACAAGACUCGAAAGCAGCUAUCUCACUGCUGAGGUUCUCGGUUCCUCGGGUCCGAAUCUACACAAGUGGACUCAAAUGAGGGACCUAACAAAUAUGAAUAUGACUCUAAAAUACUCCCCAAAAAUCCCCUAAAACACCUCAAAACAUUCAUAGAAAACAUGCAAAGGAAGGCUGAACAGGGCACUUUCGGCGGCAGGUUCGGCGACCGAAAGUCCCUCUAGAGCCGAAAGUCAUGCAGGUUCGGCGGCACCUUCGGCGGCCGAAAGUGCCCUCCAGAGACGAAAGUCCAUUUUCGGGGGCAGGCUUCGGCAGCCGGAAGGCUUGCCUCGCAGACAGGUUCGGCGACCGAAAAUCCUUUCGGCUGCCGAACCUGGUUUCUCCCAAAAGGGCAGAAACUCAGCUCUUCAAUGCACACUUUCCUCCCAAACCUUCCAAGUAAGCAUCCAACUCUCUCAAAGCAUGCAUACACACAUACAUCAACACCUAGGGGUCUCAAACUAUCCUAAACCCCAACUACAACACAUCAAACAUGCAUAUCCAACACACAUUGCUCAUAUAAUCACAUAAAACCUAACAAAGUUCAACUAACCUAAACAUGCAUUUCUACCCCAUGAAUCAACUUAAAACUUACUUAAAACAUAAAAUGAGUUCAAGAUCGGCUCUUACCUCUUGAAGAUCGAGAGGGAGACGACCUAAACUUGGAGAACUAAGGGAAAGAGCUCCUAAGUCUUCCAAGCCUCAAAACUUGCUUAAAUGCUCAAAUGCUCAAAGAUCUUUAAAACAAAGUGAAAUCUCAUGAAAAUCAUAAAAGAUUUGUAGGAAGAGACUCAAAAUCGGCAAGGGACGGCGGAGAACUCACCUUGGCCGGAAAUGGGAAGAAAAGCUCGCCCAUUCGGACAAGGAGACCCUUUUAUAGGUGGCUGGCCAGGCCACUUUCGGGGGCCUAACGUGCCUCCGCAUGCAUGCCAUGUUCGGCGGCUGAACAUAAGGUUCGGCGACCGAACUUGGACUUCCCUCACUUAUGCCUUCGGGGGCCUAAAGCACUCCCGAAGUGCAUGCAUGUUCGGCGGCCGAACUUGAGGUUCGGCGGUCGAACCUGAGUCUUCCUCUCAAGACUAUUUUCAUCAAAAACUUAAUUUCUUUCUUGCUUAAAACCAUAAAAAACAUUAAAACAUUUUAUGAAAACAUGGUUUUUCCCUUCUAGAGGUCUCCGACAUCCGAGAUUCCACCGGACGGUAGGAAUUCCCACACCGGAGUGUAGCCGGGUAUUACAUUCUUCCCCCCUUAAGAACAUUCGUCCCCGAAUGUUCACCAAACAACAUAGCAUGGCAUCAAACAUGAUCAUACAAAGCAUAAAACAUCAACAUAUAUAUCUAACACAUAACACACACCUUAAAAGAGAUGAGGAUAUUGCUGGAGCAUAGACUCCCGUGUCUCCCAGGUACACUCUUCGAUGUUGUGGUGAUUCCAAAGGACUUUCACCAUCGGGAUUUCCUUGUUCCUUAGCUUUCUGAUCUGGGUGUCUAGGAUCCGUACUGGUUGCUCAACAUAGGUGAGAUCCUCUUGGAUCUCCAUAUCAGGCUCACUAAGAACCUUGCCCGGAUCUGACACGAACUUUCUUAACAUGGAAACAUGGAAAACCGGAUGGAUUCUCUCCAUUGAAGCAGGCAAGUCCAGCUUGUACGAUACAUUCCCAAUCUUUUGCAAGACUUCAAAGGGUCCGAUGUACCGCGGAGCUAGCUUACCCUUUUUCCCAAACCGAAUCACCCCUUUCAUUGGAGACACCUUGAGCAAUACCAAUUCCCCCUCCUGAAACUCUACUUGCCUUCUACGGAUAUCUGCAUAACUCUUUUGCCUGCUUGCAGCAGUCUUGAUCCUUUCUCUGAUUAUGGGCACCACUCUGCUGGUGAUCUCUACUAGCUCAGGCCCUGCCAAGGCCUUUUCUCCUACUUCUUCCCAACAGACAGGCGACCUGCACUUUCUUCCAUACAAGGCUUCGUAUGGGGCUAUCCCUAUGCUGGCAUGAUGGCUGUUAUUGUAGGCAAACUCCACCAGAGGUAGAUGCUGCCUCCAAGAAUCGCCAAAAUCCAGCACACACAUUCUGAGCAUAUCCUCUAUUGUCUGGAUGGUCCCCUCUGAUUGUCCAUCCGUCUGUGGAUGGAAAGCAAUGCUAAAAUCCAACCUGGUACCCAUAGCAUUCUGCAGACUCCGCCAAAACCUGGAGGUGAACUGGGGUCCUCUAUCGAACACUAUUGAAACAGGAACCCCAUGCAGUCUGACAAUCUCAUCUACAUACACUUGCGCCAACUUGUCCACAGAAUAACCACUCCUGAUAGGGAUGAAGUGAGCAGAUUUGGUGAGUCUGUCCACAAUCACCCAUAUGGAGUCCAAUCUGUUGGACGCUGCCGAUAACCCCACCACGAAGUCCAUAGCUAUGUUCUCCCAUUUCCACUCUGGAAUAGGUAGUGGGUUAAGCAUUCCAGCCGGCUUCUGAUGUUCCAGCUUCACCCUCUGACAUAUUUCGCAGGCUGACACAAACUGUGCCACUUCCCUCUUCAUAGCUGGCCACCAAUAAACUUUCUUCAGAUCUUGAUACAUCUUGGUGGCUCCAGGGUGAACACUGUAUCUAGCAUUAUGAGCCUCCCUCAUAAUGUCUCCCUUUAGCCCUGCGUCAUCUGGUAUGCACAAUCGGCUCCCAUAGCGGAGGAUCCCUUUGCUGUCGAAUCUGAACUCACUAUCCUUGCCUGACUGAACAGUCCUGGCAAUCUUCACUAACUCUGGGUCCUCAUGUUGUUUCUAAGCCACCUGCUCCAGAAACAUGGGUGCCACUCUCAUUUGGGCAAUCAAAACACCUGUACCAGACAACUCCAACUGUAGACCUUCAUUCAAGAGUUCGAAGAACUGCCUCACCACUGGCCUCCUCUCUGCUGAAAUAUGGGACAAACUGCCAAGUGAUUUCCGGCUUAAGGCGUCCGCCACAACAUUCGCCUUACCCGGAUGGUACUGAAUUUUACAAUCAUAGUCACUAAGCAGUUCUACCCAUCUUCUCUACCUCAGAUUCAAAUCUCUCUAACUCAGGAUGUACUGCAGGCUCUUAUGAUCUGUGAAGAUCUCACACUUAACCCCAUAAAGAUAGUGCCUCCACAUCUUGAGUGCAAAGAUCACCGCUGCCAUCUCCAGGUCAUGUGUAGGGUAAUUCAACUCGUGCUUCUUUAGCUGUCUAGAAGCAUAAGCAAUCACCCUUUCAUUCUGCAUUAGCACACAACCCAGUCCCACACGGGACGCAUCGCAGUAGACUGUGAAGUCCUCAUUGCUAGUUGGCAGAGAUAACACUGGUGCUGAAGUCAACCUCUUCUUGAGCUCCUCAAAGCUUUCUUCGCACUGAUCGGUCCACACAAACCUCUGGUUCUUCUUAGUUAGUCUGGUCAUAGGAGCUGCAAUCUUAGAGAAGUCCUGAACGAACCUCCUGUAGUAACCUGCUAAACCCAAGAAGCUCUUGAUCUCUGUAACUGUAGUGGGUCUAGGCCAGUUAGCUACGGCUUCCACUUUCUUGGGGCCUACCUCGAUUCCAUUUUUCGACACAACGUGCCCCAAGAAUGAAAUGCUCCUCAGUCAGAACUCACACUUGGAGAACUUGGCAUACAAGCCAUGUUCCCUUAAGGUCUGCAGAACUAAUCUCAGAUGAUGGGCAUGCUCCUCUGCAUUCCUGGAAUACACUAAGAUAUCAUCUAUGAAGACAAUAACAAAGUGAUCCAGGUAUUGGCUAAAUACUCUGUUCAUGAGGUCCAUGAAUGCUGCAGGGGCGUUGGUUAACCCGAACGGCAUCACAAGGAACUCAUAAUGCCCAUAUCUGGUCCUGAAGGCUGUCUUCGGUACAUCCUCUUCUCUUAUCCUUAGCUGAUGGUACCCCGAUCUCAUAUCUAUUUUGGAGAAACAACCUGCUCCGCCUAGCUGGUCAAAUAGAUUGUCGAUCCUUGGCAACGGGUACUUAUUCUUGGUAGUGACCUUGUUCAACUGCCUGUAGUCGAUACAAAGUCUGAGAGAUCCAUCAUUCUUUUUCACAAAUAGCACUGGAGCACCCCAAGGUGAGGUAUUCGGUCGGAUGAAUCCUCUAUCUACCAACUCUUGCAACUGCUCCUUAAGCUCAUUUAAUUCUGCUGGUGCCAUCCUGUAGGGAGGAAUAGAGAUCGGUCUGGUUCUAGGCAUCAAUUCAGUUUCGAACUCUAUCUCCCUAGCAGGCGGUAAACCUGGCAGCUCGUCUGGAAAAACAUCUAAGAACUCACUGACCACGGGCACUGAGGCGGGCUCUCUAACAUGACUAUCCAGCUCUCUCACAUGAGCUAGAAAACCCUAACAACCCCUCUUGAGUAGCCUACGAGCCUGAAGGGCUGAUAUCAAACCUCUAGGUGUACUCCCCCUGUCUCCUCUGAAGACAACCUCUGACCCAUCCUGACAUCUGAACUUGACUACCUUGUCUCUGCAGUACAAGGUAGCACUAUGGGUAGAUAGCCAAUCCAUCCCUAGAAUGACGUCAAAAUCUGUCAAAUCUAGAACCACAAGGUCGGCUGAAAGGCAUCUCCCCUCUAUAAAAACUGGACUAUACUGGCAGACUGACUCUGCCACUGACGGGUCACACUUGGGUCCACUGACCCAUAGGGGACACUCUAACCCAGAGACCAUCAAUCCCAACCUCUCGAUGGCCCUCGGAGCAAUGAAAGAAUGAGAUGCACCAGGGUCCAUUAAGGCAUAAACAUCUAAACAACCAAUGACAAGGUUACCUGACACCACGGUGUUAGAUGUGUUUGCCUCCUGCUGAGUCAUUGUGAAGAUCCGCGCUGGAGCUGAUGGACCUUCACCUCUGAAAUCCGCUGAAGAAGAGGCUGCCCCUCUCCCUCGGCCUCGGCCACUAGCCUGAGUCGCGGCUGGAGCCACUGGCUGAGCCACACUACCAGAAGCUGUCUGCUGAGACUGUGCCACAGAAGCUACUCUAGGACACUCUCGUGCCAUAUGUCUCUCCUGCCCACAUCUGAAGCAAGCUGUCGUCCCAACCAGACAUACUCCCUUGUGGGGCUUCCCACACUUCAUACAUGCUGUAACACUUGCACCCGAGCUCGAGCCACUUCCUAAUCCCAGACCUGACUUGAUCUUGCUCCAGAACUUGUUCUUCUUGGACUUCCGGGAGCCUCUGUCCCACUUCUUACUGCCUGAACUCAGAGAAGAAGGGUCUAACCUACCCCCUCNNNNNNNNNNNNNNNNNNNNNNNNNNNNNNNNNNNNNNNNNNNNNNNNNNNNNNNNNNNNNNNNNNNNNNNNNNNNNNNNNNNNNNNNNNNNNNNNNNNNNNNNNNNNNNNNNNNNNNNNNNNNNNNNNNNNNNNNNNNNNNNNNNNNNNNNNNNNNNNNNNNNNNNNNNNNNNNNNNNNNNNNNNNNNNNNNNNNNNNNNNNNNNNNNNNNNNNNNNNNNNNNNNNNNNNNNNNNNNNNNNNNNNNNNNNNNNNNNNNNNNNNNNNNNNNNNNNNNNNNNNNNNNNNNNNNNNNNNNNNNNNNNNNNNNNNNNNNNNNNNNNNNNNNNNNNNNNNNNNNNNNNNNNNNNNNNNNNNNNNNNNNNNNNNNNNNNNNNNNNNNNNNNNNNNNNNNNNNNNNNNNNNNNNNNNNNNNNNNNNNNNNNNNNNNNNNNNNNNNNNNNNNNNNNNNNNNNNNNNNNNNNNNNNNNNNNNNNNNNNNNNNNNNNNNNNNNNNNNNNNNNNNNNNNNNNNNNNNNNNNNNNNNNNNNNNNNNNNNNNNNNNNNNNNNNNNNNNNNNNNNNNNNNNNNNNNNNNNNNNNNNNNNNNNNNNNNNNNNNNNNNNNNNNNNNNNNNNNNNNNNNNNNNNNNNNNNNNNNNNNNNNNNNNNNNNNNNNNNNNNNNNNNNNNNNNNNNNNNNNNNNNNNNNNNNNNNNNNNNNNNNNNNNNNNNNNNNNNNNNNNNNNNNNNNNNNNNNNNNNNNNNNNNNNNNNNNNNNNNNNNNNNNNNNNNNNNNNNNNNNNNNNNNNNNNNNNNNNNNNNNNNNNNNNNNNNNNNNNNNNNNNNNNNNNNNNNNNCAUCUGAGAGUGAUAAGGGGUAAAACUGGGGUAAUCCGAUGUACCUCCCAUCGAAUACCCGGGAUUAUGAGAAAAGGGUGGGUAGUAAGGUGGCUGAACAAAUCCCGAGGCCUGAGUGCCUCCUUGGGACUCUCCCAUUCCCUCUUCCGACAUACUUACUCCGAGACUGCCAUCCCUCCUCUGAUCCACAUCCAUCUGAUCCUCCACAUCCUCUGACAUAUCCCCUUGCGCUGUUCCCCUCACUGAUCUGCUUCUACCCAGAUCCAAAGACCUUCUAGGGUCCCUUACUGCUCUUUCUCUGCUGGACCUACUUGACAUUGCCCUAGGCAAUGCAGGAGGACGGGCAUCAGUGCCCUCGUCCUGAGGUGGUACUCCAGUCAAUCGUGCAGAUCGACGAGUUCCUCUCAUCCUGUUUACUGAAAAACAGCACACAUCACAUAGAACAUUAGCAUCAAAUGGUUCAUGUGGAAGCACAUGAACCCGCAUCACAUACAUCACAUACAUAGCAUAUCAUUAAUGCACAUGCAUAUAAUCAUGGCAUUUCACAACAUCAUUCAAGAUAGGACUCUUUAUCCUAUCCUAGUGGAUAUGAUCUUCCUAUCGUGCUUGACCUUCUAAAACAUCUAUGAGCCCGACACUCUAGGUCCGACCAUAUGAACCUAGGGCUCUGAUACCAAUCUGUAACGACCUGAAAAUCCGGACCGCUACCGGCGCUAGGAUUCAGGUCGGCAUAAGGCCGCCAGGACCCGUAGCAAGCCUAACAUUCAUCCUGAAAACCUGUUUAAUCCCAUACAUGAUCAACACAUACAUAAUAAUUUUGAACUUUUCCUUACAUUCAUUCAUUCUUUCAUUCAUUCUUUCAUUCAUUCACCAAACUCAACCUGUGCAUGCACUAUACAUAAUAUGAUCAUAAACAUUAACUCCUCUUUGGAGUCUCAACAAUGCCCCAAUGGGGUGACAUCACAUAUAUUGAGUUUGGUUACAUAAGCAUCAUAAAAAUCAUGAACUCAAGGGGAUUAACAACAUACUAGGGUCAGGCACAACUAUAAACCUCAAUAGACAUCAUCGCAUUACAUUUCUAUACUAUACUUUUACAUUACAUCAUUUUACAAUUUUAUCAUGUCCACAACUAACUAUUACAUAUAUACAUAACUUUACAUUCCUUGACUUCCUGAUCUAGCCCGUACCUGCAAACCUGGGGAUUUAGAGAGAGGGGUGAGCUACUAGAGCCCAGUGAGCAGAAUAAUAAAACAUAGUAUUUAAAACAUAUGAUAUCAUGAAAUGCAUCACAGCACAAACAUUUCACAUCAAGGAUGAACUUGUCACCACUUAGCCCUCUAUACAGUCUAAUUAUGCCAGAGGCGUAGUGCAGGCUCGCCUGGACUUCCAUAGCAUACCAUACAUAUCCAGUCAUGCCGGGGGCGUAGUGCAGGCUCGCCCGGACUUCCAUAGUCUGUCAUAUCAUACUAUAUAAGGGCUAAUGGAUCAUUCAACAUUCAUCCACAUCAACAACAUAAUAUGCAAUGCAACAUAUUCGUGAAUUCUAAUGCAAGCACCCUAAUAUAUCUCAUGGCAUUCAUGAUGCGUGAAUCAUGCUAAAGCUUUCAUUUUAUUUACUUUAAAACGUAGAGAGUUAUUCCACUCACCUCUGGCUAGCUCUGACAAGACUCGAAAGUAGCUAUCUCACUGCUGGGGUCCUCGGUUCCUCGAGUCCGAAUCUACACAAGUGGACUCAAAUGAGGGACCUAACAAACAUGCAUACGACUCUAAAAUACUCCCCAAAAAUCCCCUAAAACACCUCAAAUCAUUCAUAGAAAACAUGCAAAGGAAGGUUGAACAGGGCACUUUCGGCGGUAGGUUCGGCGGCCGAAAGUCCCUCCAGAGCCGAAAGUCAUGCAGGUUCGGCGGCACCUUCGGCGGCCGAAAGUGUGCUCCAGAGACAAAAGUCCAUUUUCGGGGACAGGCUUCAGCAGCCGAAAGGCUUGCCUCGCAGACAGGUUCGGCGGCCGAAAAUUCUUUUGGCUGCCGAACCUGGUUUCUCCCAAAAGGGCAGAAACUCAGCUCUUCAAUGCACACUUUCCUCCCAAACCUUCCAAUCAAGCAUCCAACUCUCUCAAAGCAUACAUACACACAUACAUCAACACCUAGGGGUCUCAAACUAUCCUAAACCACAACUACAACACAUCAAACAUGCAUAUCCAACACACAUUGCUCAUAUAAUCACAUAAAACCUAACAAAGUUUAACUAACCUAAACAUGCAUUUCUACCCCAUGAAUCAACUUAAAACUUACUUAAAACAUAAAAUGAGUUCAAGAUCGGCUCUUACCUCUUGAAGAUCGAGAGGGAGACGACCUAAACUUGGAGAACUAAGGGAAAGAGCUCCUGAGUCUUCCAAGCCUCAAAACUUGCUUAAAUGAUCAAAUGCUCAAAGAUCUUUAAAACAAAGUGAAAUCUCAUGAAAAUCAUAAAAGAUUUGUAGGAAGAGACUCAAAAUCGGCGAGGGACGGCGGAGAACUCACCUUGGCAGGAAAUGGGGAGAAAAGUUCGCCCAUUCGGACAAGGAGACCCUUUUAUAGGUGGCUAGUCAGGCCACUUUCGGGGGCCUAACGUGCCUCCGCAUGCAUGCCAUGUUCGGCGGCCGAACAUAAGGUUCGGCGGUCGAACCUGGACUUCCCUCACUUAUACCUUCGGGGCCUAAAGCACUCCCGAAGUGCAUGCAUGUUCGGCGGUCGAACUUGAGGUUCGGCGGCCGAACCUGAGUCUUCCUCUCAAGACUAUUUUCAUCAAAAACUUAAUUUCUUUCUUGCUUAAAACCAUAAAACACAUUAAAACAUUUUAUGAAAACAUGGUUUUUCCUUUCUAGAGGUCUCCGACAUCCGAGAUUCCACCGGACGGUAGGAAUUUCGACAUCGGAGUCUAACCGGGUAUUACAAAAAAUUUCAAUCAUUAACAUUCUUGAAAACUAAAAAUCAAGCCAAACUUAAAUUAAAGAAACUCUACAAUGUAAUUUGGAACCCUAAUUUUAAACUGAAAUUACCAAUUUCUAUCAUGUGACCACCCAGUGGUCAGGUCUAAAUGAAGAUACAGUUUAUGAUUAGUCUCUUAGCACAAAUUUUUAUAAUUAAAAAAAAUGAGAGUGAAUAAGAUAAUCAAAGGAAAGAAAAUUAGGCAAAAUAAAGAGAAAUAGCUAAAUUUUUUAAUUAAUUAUAGUUUAUAUUUUUAAUUUUAUCUAAUUUAGCAUAAUUUUAAAAUUUCUUUGACACUGACUUUAACUUUUGAAAUAAGUUUAAAUUAAAAAUAUUAGUUGUGAAAGAAUUUAUAGUUGAUAUCAUUUUUGCUGGAAUUUAAGAAGACUCGCUCCUAGUUGGGCUUCUAGUUGGGCAGCGUAGUAUCUUGAUCCUAGAUUUCAGGAUCGAAGAUCCCGUUUCUGAUAACCAGAAAACACCCGCUUAGCAAGUGUUUUGCCGUUAUUUUUACCUCUAAUUUUAUUAAAAUAAAAAAUAUUUACUAUUUAAUCUAUAAAUUUUAUUAUUAUUAAUAAAUCAGUCCCUCAAUUUUAAAAAAUGUAUCAAAAUAUUUUUAUGUAAGCAAACUGUUAACAACCAAAUCAUUCAAUUCUCUUUUCUGCUAACUAAUUUAUCAUUUUUAUAAAGAUUUUGAAAGAUUAAUGAAAAAUUUAAUAUUAAUUGUGCACUACAAAAAUUAAAAUUAAUGAUAAUAUAGUAUAAAAUUGACCUUCAGCAAUAUAUCAUGCAUUCUCUUAGCUGUUACUAACAAUAUUCCGUGAGAAUUCAUCAAUAAUAUAUCUAUGUAUAACUAGCUAGUAGACAUGUAUAAAAUAAUGGAAAAAUAUUGACUUAAUAAAAAAUAAAUCAUUCCAAAUUCUAAAUAAAUUAUACCAACUCUUUUUUCUCUUAACAAAACAUUAAUGAGCUUCAUGAUGUAAGACAAUUACGUAGGCUUGAUUUUGUAAGAUGGCAUGAUGCUUGCUGGUCACUUCUCAAUUGGUUUUUUUAUAUAUAGAGAUAAUUGAAUGGAGUUUUAAUUGAUUGACUUAAAAUUAAAUUCUAUUUAUAUCAAAUUAAAUUCAUUAAAAAAUAAAAUAAUUUUAAUAAAUAUUUACUCCAUCCAUAAAAAUAGCACAUAUGCAUUUUUGCUGAAUUUUAAGAAGACUCGCUUCUAGUUGGGCUCCUAGUUGGGCAGCAUAGCAUCUUGAUCCUAGAUUUCAGGAUCAAGAACUAGUCCAUAUGCAUAAAAUGAAUGGAAAAGUAUUGACUUAAAUAUAAAACAAAUAAAUUAUUCCAAAUUCUAAACAAAUUAUUACUUUCAAUGGCUGGUACUAUAUACCAUUUUUUUUCUCUUAACAAAAAAAAAAUUAUAUCUAUUGAGAUAUUUAACUUAAUUUAUAAAAAUUAUCUUAUAAGCAUUGAAGUACUUAUAAGUAAUUAUAACCAUUUAAAAUUUGAUUUAUUAGAUAAAAAAUAAAAAUAUUUAUAUUUUUUUACUUCCUAGUAUCACAUCUUUAACAAAUAGUGAUAAUUUUUAAGUAUCGAGUGAAGUAUAAAAACAUACUCUAAUUUCAUUAAUUUUCACUUUAAAAUUUGUGAUAUAAUUUGUAUUUAAAUAAAUUUUUAUAAAAUUAUGCAUAAUUUUUAGUUUUUUAAAAUAAAUUUUUUAAAGAAAAAAAUGAAAAUUUUAAAUUUAAAAAAUAAAUAGAAAAAAUUAAUUAAAUUAAAUUGAAUUGUUGUGAAAUAUUUAAUUCCAAAUAAAAAGUAAUGACUCUAUGAAUGACUGAAAUAAAUUGAAGGCAAGGCUUGAAUAAAUUGCAACUUAAAAUAAUAUGAACUUGCCGAUCCAGCAUGAUUAGAUUAAUAGUUUGAGGGAAAAAAUGAUAGUUUAAUAAUUUUUCAUAAUCAACUUAUUUAACUUUUUAUUAAAGUUAAAUAAAAUAAUUUUUAUUAUCUGAAAGCUAAUAUGUUGCUUUUUUUUUAAAAAAAAUGUCCAAAAAUAUAAUUUAUUUCCAAAGUCAUAGUCUACUCUUAUUGUGAUUUUUAUUAAUGAUUUUUGUUUUUAAAUAAUGAGACUUCAGAUCUGUAAUCGAACCACUUGAAUAAAAUAACAAUUUUCUAAAUCAAACCAAUGCAUACUUCAUUUUCUAUAUAAGGCUUUACAGCACUCCUUGAUUAGCAUUAAGUAUACAAUAAAACCUUCCAGUAGUUUUAAGUCUUUUGAGUGAAACAAUGGCCAAUGUGGAAAAUGCUCAGCCUCCACAGCUGGAAAAUCAACAACGAGGAAACCUUCAAGCGCCAGUCUUUGGGAAUUUUCAAGGAGGGAACCAGCAAUGGAGCUAUGAUCAGGGACUCGAAUCAAGGAGUACACAAUUCGGAAAUCAACAAGGUGGUAAUAUCCAAAUACCACAAUCUAUACAUCUUCAAAAUGGAAGCUCCUUUCCGGUCAACUUUCAAAAUGUAUGUUUGUCUGGCGGAUAUAUACCAAACAUUCAAGGGGGAAAUACACAAUGUGGGAACUACCAAAUACAACCAUGCAUGCCACAUAUAGAGUUUCCCCAGCUUGGGAAUCCAUAUAUGGGAUAUGUAGUACCAUUUCCACAUUAUCAUGCAAUUCGUAAUCAAGGUGGAAAUGUUCAAGGAGCCAAUACACAAGGAGGAAAUACCCAAGGCAUCAACACACAAGGAGGCUAUAUCCAAGGUGGAAACCUUCUAGAAAGAAAUGCACAAGGAGGAAAUGCUCAAGGUGGCAAUCCACAAGGAAGAAAUGCUCAAGGUGACAAUGCUCAAGCUGGCAAUGCUCAAUGUGGUAAUGCCCAAGGGUUUUAUGGGCCAUAUAGUAAUAUACAAGCCAAUACACAAGGAGGAAANNNNNNNNNNNNNNNNNNNNCUCAAGGUGGUAAUGCUCAAGGGGGAAAUGCUCAAGGAGGAAAUGCUCAAGGUGGUAAUGCUCAAGGGCGAAAUGCUCAAGGAGGUAAUGCUCAAGGUGGUAAUGCUCAAGGGGGAAAUGCUCAAGGAGGUAAUGCUCAAGGGGGAAAUGCUCAAGGUGGGAAUGCUCAAGGAGGAAAUGUGCAAGGUGGCAAUGUGCAAGGAGGAAAUGCUCAAGUUUGCAAUGCCCAAGAGUUUUAUGGGGCAUAUAGUCAUAUACAAGGAGGCAAUUCUCAAGGUGGUAAUGCACAAGGUGAAAAUGCUCAAGGUGACAAUGCACAAGGAGGAAAUGCUCAAGGUCACAGUGCUCAGGGAGUAUGUGCUCAAGGUGGGAAUGCACAAAGUGAAAAUGCUCAAGGUGGCUAUGCUCAAGAUGGCAAUGCGCAAGGAGGAAAUGCUCAAGGCGGCAAUGCGCAAGGCAGAAAUGCUCAAGUUAACAAUAAUGCGCAAGGAAGAAAUGUUCAAGGUGUCAAUGUUCAAGGUUGCAAUGCCCAAAACUUUUAUGGGUCAUAUAGUAAUGUACAAGGAAGCAAUGCUCAAGAUGGUAAUGCACAAAAUAGAAAUACUCAAGGUGGCAAUACGCACGGAGGAAAUUCACAACAAGGAAAUAUCCAAGAUGAUAAUAUUCAAAGCGGCGGCAAUGUUCACAAUGAAAAUAUGCCAAACAUUGCAUAUUGUACUUGUGCACAUCUACCAGGUUGUCCUUGGAGGCAAAUAUACAUCAAUAAGCCCAAAACAUCUGAAACAAACUCUACUAUUUACCAUAUUACUAUUAUGUAAUAUUUGUUUUUGUUUAUUUGACAGAAUUUACGUAUACCUCUCAGGAGGAUGUUGGAAUAAGGGCUUUUGAUGCCAUUGGUGUAGUUUUUACAAAUAAGAGCUUUUGUGCUCAUUAGUUCUUAUGUAAGCUUUUGAUGUUAUUGAUGUACUUCUGACAAAUAAGAGCUUUUAUGCUCAUUAGUUCUUAUGUAACUUUCAUUAGUUAUUGCAAGUGUAUGCAAUAUUUUCACUUUUUUCAGAAACUAAUUUCAAUUUAUUUAAUAUAUUAUUGGUUUUAUUAUUAUAAUAUUAAACAAUUAAGGAGAUUUCAGAUUAUCUUUCGUUGUUCAUUUUUAUUUUUUUUAAGGCUUAGAUCAUGUCAUUUUUUAUAUAUUGCGGAUGGAUUAAAUAUUAAUAAGUUAUUAUUAAUUAAAGUUUUGUAUUAUAUUGAUAUUAUAAAUUGAGUAUAAAUUACAUAACCAUAAAAUUUAUUUUUUUAACAAAAAGCUAAAUUGUGAUUUUUUUUUUAUAUAUAGAUAUAUUUAAAAAUAUUUAUAACAAUAAAUUAAGAUAAAAAUUACUUUCAAUGCAAUUUUCUCUCUGUGCUCUCUUUGUGACUCGAUACUCUCGUUUUUUCCUCUUACUUAAACCUAACUUCUUUUUUUUUCCUUCCCCAUAAAAGACGAUCUGCAUCAAUUGACUAUCGAUGAAAAAGAAAAUGUUGUUGUCCCUAUUAAUAGUUUCAGAGAUAUUCCGAUCGUCACUUAUGAUUUCUGUAUAGUGGGGGUAUUUUUCACAUAUAAUCCAAUCAAUUUUCAAAAUAUGCAGACCUUUUUGGCAGAUUUAAGGUAUUCUUUAGAGAGGUAUUUAUUAUGGAAUUAGAGACAAAAAAAAAAUAUGUUUUGGUUUUUUAAUAAUAUUAAUUUUGAAAAUAUAGGAAAUGAGACCCUUGGUUGUACAAUCGAUUGCUGUUUGUUUGGAAGGAGAUACAAGAUAAUAAAAACCCUCUCUAUACCUCUCUAACUCAUUCUGAUUUUUGAAUUUUGAUUAAAGAUCUCUCUUCUGGUUAUUAUAACGAAACGUUGGCUAAAUUAAUCGGAGAUUUUGCUGACCACUAUAAAAAGUAUGAUAUGAAAAAUUCUUCAGUUACGUCGUCAGGCCCUAUGAGAGUUAAAAUUUAUUUGGACAUUCGGCAACCUUUGAAACGGUGAUAAAAAUUUGUUGGAGAUGAUGGUAUUGCGUUUACUGUAAAGUUUCAAUACAAAAAACUGACUAUUUUUUGCUAUCUAUGUAGGAAACUGGGUCAUAUGGAGGCUUUCUGUGACUUGCGGCUGAGGUUGAAGAAAGAAAAUAUCAAGUUUGGUUGGGGUGAUUUCCUCAUACCACCUGUUCAUUGGAACCAGAGACCAACAAGUCUGUGACUGUGUGAUUCCAGCAAUUCUGCUCCACCAUGAUUUGUGACAGGAUUGACAUCAACUAGCAAUUUUGAAAAUACUAAUUUGGCAGUACAUAAUAGGUAAUUCUCCUUAUUUAACAAAAAUUAUAAUACUACUCUAACGGCUCAUACUUUAUUUAAUAAAAUUUUAUUAAUAUAAUCAGUAGUUUUGCUUUCAAAAAAAUAAUACACUAAGACGAUCAAAAAACAACAUGUUAUCAAUAAAUAUCGAGAACAAUCAUCCAAGCAUUUUGAACUUAUGUAGUAAUAACCGCUUUAAAUAAUAAAUAGACGGGUGAGCAUUUGGUCCAUUCGGUUUAAAAUCGAACAGAAUUGAAUAAAUAUUAAAAUUUUUAAUAUUUAUAAAAUCAAAUUGAUUUUAGUCAGAUAUCGAAUCGAACCGAUCUGAUUCGGUUCAAUUCAGUGCGGUUUAAUGGAUUUAAAUUUUUAAUAUUUUUUUAUCUUUUACACUUUAUUUUUAAUAUUUUAAAAUUUAAUUAAAAUAUUUUAAUCUUAAUAUGAUCUAAUCUUUCUAUAUUAUUAAAAAUAAUAUAUUAUUAUCACUAAUCGGUUCGGUUCAAUUUUUUAAUUUUUUUAUAAAAAUCAAAUUGAACCGAAAUAAUUAAAAUUUUUAAAAUUAAAAAUCGAAUCAAAAUGAAUAAAAAUCAAACUAAAAUUUUAAAUUAAUUCGAUUUGAUCACAUUUUUUCGAUUUGAAUUAAAUACUACUCGCCCCUAUAAAUAGAUACGAUAUUUGGAGACUUACUAACAUAAAAUAUAAAUACCAGUAAACUUUGAAAGAAGAAUUUUUACAUUUUACAGUAAAACUACCAAAGUAAGAUAAAUUACAAUCCGAUUUUGCUACUACCUGCACAACAAGAAGACCGUUAGUUUCCAUUUAAAAUUUAAUAGAUUAGGAAAUUAAUUUACUAUUUCAUAUAUGAAUGGAUUAAGAAGUUAAUUUACUAAUGAAUACAUGAAAUGAGGAUAAUAAGAAUUUUUUCCAAAAUUUCAAAAUUAUUAGAGUAAAAAUAAAUUAUAUUCACACCAGAUCGACUCAUUAAAAAAUAAAUUAUAUUCACACCGGAUCGACUCACUAAAAAAUAAAAUAUUUUCAGCGAAUAUUUAUUUUAUUUUUAAAAAUUAAAUCUAUAAUCUCACUAAAAAGAAAUAAAUAUUAAACCAUUAUUUUUAAUACUUAUUGAUCUAGUUGUGGUUUUUUUAUACUCAUAAAGAGUCUAAUGUGAAUACUCAUGCCUUCACUAAUUAAAAUCGGAUUAAAAAAGAAUUUUGACUAAAUUUGGAUCGAAGAGUUGAAUGAUUGUGUGAUGAGUUUGGUGUUGCAAAAUUGUAAUUUUAUUCUCUCAUUUUAUUAUGCAGUAAUGGAGUGGGCUCGUUUUAUUUAAAAGGGAAAAAGAAGAAGGGGAGGAUUAAAUAUCCUUUCUAUAUAAAAGGACCUAAAUUUAACUCCACCUCUUUAAUGCCAAUUAAAAAUAUUCCAAUCAUAUAAAAAAAUUAAAAGAGUCGCUGUAAAAAAUUAAAAAUAUAAUUAUAAUUUUUUAUCAAUCGAUAAUUUUAUUAUUAAUAUUUUAAAUUAUCGACUAUUUAUUUUAAUAAUUAUUUUUUUUAUAAUUUAAUCGAUAGAUUUUAUUGUUAUAUUUUUAAUAUUUUAUAGCGUGUAAAAUCUCACUUUAUAAUCUAACUUAUAUAGAAAGUGACACAUUGACGUGAAGAGAAAAAAAAAACUGAUAAUCCAUGAAGUUUUAAUUUUAUAAUUCUUAUAUAACUUUUUUUUAAAAAAAAACAAAAGAGUAUUAGAGUUUUCAGUAUCCAAUUAUUUUAUGAGUUAUUGCCUUUUUUUAAUUUCAUCUAAUUUGGAAAUCAACAUAUGUUGAUUAUCAUUUUUGCUGAUUUAUAAGAAGACUCGCUCCUAGUUGGGCAGCAUAGCAUCUUGAUCCUAGAUUCCAGGAUCGAGGAUCAAGAACUAGUACGUAUGCACAAAGGCCUCCAAAUGAAAAACAACUAGUAUAUAUAUAUAUAUAAUUUCAAAAGUUAAAAAUGGACUGUUAGUAAAUUUUAUUUUUGCGUUAUUAGACAUAAUUCAAACCAACAACCUAUUAAAUUAUAGAAAAACUUAUUGGUAAAAUAAAUUAUUCAUCAUUAUUAUCUAAAAUAUGGACUAUUAAAUUAUUUAUCACUAUUGUAAUUAUCUUUUUUAAAUUAAAAUCUAAACUGUAAAAUUUUGCAAUCCAAUUCCAGUCCUUAAUUUCAAAAGCUAAAAUUUGAUUGACUUGUAUGGGUCGAAAAAAGUUAAAAAAAUUAUUAAAGACCAGUAGAAAAUUUGAAGAAGCCAGUUUUUUAACUUAAAAUUUAUUAUAUUUAUUUAUCAUUUUUAUAAAUAUUAAGAAGUCUAAUGAAAAUUUUAACAUUAACUAAUAGAAAUCAAAUUUUACCAUUCUUUUUAAAAUAUUUUCAAAAAUAUUUAGAGGAACAAGACUUACAUUAUAAUUGUGCACUGUAAAAAUUAAAAUUAAUAAUAAUAUAUGAUAAAACUGACCUUCAGAAAUUUAUCAUGCAUUCUCUUAGCUGUUAUUAACAAUAUUCCAUGAGAAUUCAUCAAUAGUAUAUCUAUGUAUAAAAUAAUGGAAGAAUAUUGAGUUAAUAAAAAAUAAAUCAUUCCAAAUUCUAAAUAAAUUAUUUCCCAUGGCUGUGUUACCAACCCUUUUUUCUCUUAACAAAACAUUAAUCAGCUACAUGAUGUAAGACAAUUACGUAGGCUUGAUUUUGUAACAUUGCAUGAUGCUUGCUCGUUAUUUCUUAAUUGGUUUUUUUUUAUAUUCAAUUAAAAUUAAAUUCUAUUCGCAUUAUUAUUUUUUAUAAUAUUUAACCUAUUCAUAAAAAUUAGACUUUCAAUCUCAAUAAAUAAAAAUGAGUAUCGAAUUAUUGAUUUUAAUAUUUAUUAAUUUAAUUAUCAUUUUUUUAUACUCGCAAAAAAUUUAAUACAAAUGCUUAUAUCAUCUUUGACUAAGAUCGGAUUAGAAAAUGAUUUUGACUAAAUUUAAAUUGAAGAGCGGUGGGUCUUAAAAAACAGAAAAAAAAAAAAACCAGUACAUUUGCAUUUUUGCGGAAUUUGAAGAAGACGCGCUCCUAGUUGGGGUUCUAGUUGGGCAGCAUAGCAUCUUGAUCCUAGAUUUCAGGAUCGAGGAAAGAACUACUCCAUAUGCAUAAACUGAUGGGAAAAGUAUUGACUUAAUAAAACAAAUAAAUUAUUCCAAAUUUUAAACAAUGCUAUAUUUAUAUAGGUAUUUGACUUAAUUUAUAAAACUAUUUUGUAAGCACAUUUAAAAUUUGGUCAAUUGGAUGAAAAAAAUAAAAGUUGUGUUUUUUAAUUAUUAUGGUCUUAUAUUUUAAUUUUAAAUGAUAAAACCUUUUUCGUUUAAUUUUUUAAAAUUAUAAUUAAUUUUUAAAAUUAUUUUCAAUAUUUAUAUUUUUAUAAUUUUUAAUUUUCCAUGAUCAAGGCCAUUUAAAUUAAAAAGGCCAAAUUAUUAUAUUGUUUUAUGAUUAUAAACUCAUUAUUUAACUUUAGAGGUGUCUGAAAAAGUUCAUAGUUUCAAAUUUUUUCACGAUUAUAUUUAAUUUUUAAAUUUAGUGUUGAUGUUUAUGUAGAAUUUUUUUAUAUAGAUUUAACAAUUUUUAAUUUCCAAUCAUCAAUUUUGUUAACCCUAAUUUUUGUUAAAGAAAGGUAGGUUUAAGAAUUUGUUUAUUUAAUUUUAAGGAUUUACAGGUUAAAUUAGGAGUUUUGGGUGAUUUAAAAGUAUUUAAGUCUUGUUUGAUUUGGGUAACUUAGCUAGCAAAUUUAAAAUUUAUAAAAAAUGUGAAAUUGUUUUUGUUAGUUGACAAAUUGUUUUUUUUUUUUUGCUUUCCUGUAAAUCAAGAAUUUUUUUUCUUUUAGUAGGAGAAAAUAAUUUAUUUUCCUCAAUCUAAUUAAAUUAUUUUCAAAAAAUAACUUCUAAAAAAACUAACACGUUUAAAUAAAAAAAUUAAAAUUAUUUUUUGCUAUCAAAGACGAAGAAUCUAUUUAAUUAAUUAACAAUAUAUUAUAAGAACUCUAGAUCCAACUUAAGAUAGUAAAUCCUCAAUUUUAUGUAAAAAAAUUUCCAUAUAGGUUAUUAAAAUAUAUAAACUUAUGAAGUCUUUGUCUACUUAAAAGCAAUAAUUAAUUAUGGGUCAUGUUCAUGGAGGCUCUCUUAGCUCUGUCUAUAUAAGGAAUCAACUGUUCUCCACUUUCCAUCCCAAGUGAGAGUCCUCAAGGAAAAAAAAAAAGCUUUAUUUGUUCCUAACUCCAAAAUGUCUACAGAAAAGGAGCAGAACCAGACAAAUGAAAAUCAGUUUCGUUUACAAAAGUACGUGUGGUGGCCAUGGUCGACAAAUGUACGUGUGAUCGCCAUAGCCAUCGUCACCUUAGCUUUCUUUCUUGGGACAACAAUAAAAAUAGAACGACACCUAGUGGGUGGUAAGAAGCAAGGAGACAACAUCCAAUGGCUGGUUGAUUGGAUGAAAUCGCCAGAAUCCCAGAACAAGUCGAUGAAUCUUCGGUGCAAGAAAGUGAAUGACGAGUUAAGAUGCACAAGAGAGCCAGAAGAAGGAAACGGUCAUGCUGAAAAUUCCAAGCAAUCUCAACGGUUUUUCCUUCGUCUGGAUGGUCUAAAAGGCGACCAAACUCAAUCAGAGAAUUCCCUUUGCUGUCGUCCUUGUAGACAUUCCUCAGGCAAAGUUUUCAUAUAUCGCAUUGAGUUUAAUCUUGAGAGAUAUAAGAAGAUUUACUAUUGGC